rnacentral:rRNA from 1 species
GAAAGGCGGGCUAAUACCGCAUGGUUUCCGAAAGGAAUAAAGCAGCAAUGCGCUCGAGGAUCGGUUCACCUCCCAUUAGCUAGUUGGUGGGUAAUGGCCCACCAAGGCUACGAGUGGGUAGCUGGUCUGAGGAGGAUGGUCAGCCACACUGGAACUGAGAUACGGUCCAGACUCCUACGGGGGGCAGCAGUCUAGAGGCUUCGUCAAUGCCCGAAAGGGUGAACGAGCGACGCCGCGUGCGGGAUGAAGGCUUUCGGGUCGUAAACCGCUUUUGUUUGGGAAGAAUGCCUGUGUCGUGAACAUGGGAGGGACGGUACCAGACGAAUAAGCCUCGGCUAACUCCGUG